rnacentral:rRNA from 1 species
GUCAAAUAAACGAAGGCUCACGGUGGAGACCUAGGGACUCAGAGACGAAGAAGGGCGCAGGUACCGGCGAAACGCUUCGGGGAGCUGGCAACAAGCUUUGAUCCGGAGAUCCCCGAAUAGGGCAACCUCGAGAACUACCUAUACAAUUCAUAGUUAGGAAAGAGACAACCUGGUGAACUGAAACAUCUUAGUAGCCAGAGGAAAAGAAAGCAAACGCGAUUCUCGUAGUAGCGGCGAGCGAAACGGGAACAGCCUAAACCAAUCUCUUCGAUUGGGGUAGUGGGAAGACAUUUUUUAUUUUUCUUCAUACUUCAGGGUAUGAACGAAAAAUAUAUUUUUCGAACAAGCGAUAAACCGCAUCUGUGAACACAUGAAAACGAUAAAAAGCCAAUGUGUGCACGUGUUUAUGAAUAAAAGCAAAGACGAAGCAGCUGAAUCCUGCACCAUAGAUGGUGAAAGUCCAGUAGUCGUAUUUUAAAAAUAACACCGCAUAAGAGCGAUGAUGCGCGAAGACUCAAUUCAUUUGAUUCGAAUUGUCUAAUCCCGAGUAGCAUGGGGCACGUGGAAUCCCGUGUGAAUCUGCGAGGACCACCUCGUAAGGCUAAAUAUUCCUGAGUCACCGAUAGCGAAAUAGUACCGCGAGGGAAAGGUGAAAAGAACCCCCGUAGGGGAGUGAAAUAGAACAUGAAACCGUCAGCUGACAAGCAGUGGGAGGGCUAUGGGCCUGACCGCGUGCCUGUUGAAGAAUGAGCCGGCGACUUAUAGGAAGUGGCAGGGUUAAGAAGUUUCGUUCGUAGCCCAAGCGAAAGCGAGUCUGAAUAGGGCGUCUAGUCACUUCUUAUGGACCCGAACCCGGAUGAUCUAACCACGACCAGGAUGAAGCUUGGGUAACACCAAGUGGAGGUCCGAACCGACCGAUGUUGAAAAAUCGGCGGAUGAGUUAUGGUUAGCGGAGAAAUUCCAAUCGAAUUCGGAGCUAGCUGGUUCUCCCCGAAAUGCGUUGAGGCGCAGCGGUGACGACGAACUUCCUUGGGGUAAAGCUCACUGUUUCGAUACGGGCUGCGAAAGCGGUACCAAGUCGUGGCAAACUCAGAAUACAAGGAAAUGUUUUCCGUCAACCAGUGAGACGGUGGGGGAUAAGCUUCAUCGUCAAGAGGGAAACAGCCCAGAUCACCAGCUAAGGCCCCUAAAUGGCCGCUAAGUGGAAAAGGAUGUGAGAAUGCUGAAACAACCAGGAGGUUUGCUUAGAAGCAGCCACCCUUCAAAGAGUGCGUAAUAGCUCACUGGUAAAGCGUUCUUGCGCCGACAAUGGCCGGGACUAAGCGGCCUGCCGAAGCUGUGAGAUUUUUUUAUAAAAAAAUAAAAAAAUCGGUAGGGGAGCGUUCUGCUUCGGGUGAAGCUUUCAUGUAAAUGGCAGUGGACGGAGCGGAAGUGAGAAUGUCGGCUUGAGUAACGAAAACAUUGGUGAGAAUCCAAUGCCCCGAAAACCUAAGGGUUCCUCCACAAGGUUCGUCCGUGGGGGGUGAGUCAGGACCUAAGGUGAGGCCGAAAGGCGUAAUCGAUGGCAAACAGGUUAAUAUUCCUGUACUGAUUCUGGUGGGAACCGAGGGACGAAGAAGGCUAAGCUAGAUCUGUGCAUGGAAUGCAGUGGAAGCGUUUAGGCGAUGACAGGUAGAACAAAAACUAUCCUGGAGCUGAGGCGUGAUCCCGCUCUCUGGAACUCGUUCCGGUUGAGCGCUAGUGAUGUCAUACUUCCAAGAAAAGCUCGUGCACCUCUCUCUUGUUUACAAGGGAGAACAAACACCAGAAUCACCUGUACCUGAAACCGACACAGGUAGGUAGGUAGAGAAUACUAAGGGGCGCGAGAUAACUCUCUCUAAGGAACUCGGCAAACUGGCCCCGUAACUUCGGAAGAAGGGGCGCCCUCUGAGAAGAGGGUCGCAGUGACCAGGCCCAGGCGACUGUUUACCAAAAACACAGGUCUCAGCAAAGUCGUAAGACAACAUAUUGGGGCCGAUGCCUGCCCAGUGCCGGAAGGUGAAGGAAGUUGGUCAUCCGCUUUCGCGGAGAAGCUGACGACCGAAGCCCCGGUGAACGGCGGCUGUAACUAUGACAGUCCUAAGGUAGCGAAAUUCAUUGUCGAGUAAGUUUCGACCUGCACGAAAGGCAUAACGAUCUGGGCGCUGUCUCGGAGAGAGGCUCGGUGAAAUAGACUUGUCCGUGAAGAUGCGGACUACUUGCAUUUGGACAGAAAGACCCUAUGAAGCUUCACUGCAGGCUGGCAUUGGGUUCGGGCUUUUCUUGCGCAGUCUAGGUGGGAGGCUUUGAAGGUUUCCUUCCGGGGAAGCUGGAGCCAUCAGUGAGAGACCACUCUGGAAAGGCUAGAAUCCUAAUGGUGAUCCUUGAAUCAGGACACUUGACAUUGUCAGCUAGACAGUUUUUCUGGGGCGGAAGGCUCCUAAAAGGUAACGGAGCUGUGCAAAGGUUCCCUCAGUCUGGACGGAAAUCAGACGUGGAGUGUAAAGGCAAAAGGGAGCUUGACUGCAAGACCUACAAGUCGAGCAGGAGCGAAAGCUGGCCUUAGUGAUCCGACGGUACCGUGUGGAAGGGCCGUCGCUCAACGGAUAAAAGUUACUCUAGGGAUAACAGGCUAAUCUUAUCCAAGAGUUCACAUCGACGAUAAGGUUUGGCACCUCGAUGUCGGCUCAUCACAUCCUGGAGCGGUAGUACGUUCCAAGGGUUGGGCUGUUCGCCCAUUAAAGUGGUACGUGAGCUGGGUUCAGAACGUCGUGAGACAGUUCGGUCCAUAUCCGAUGCAAGCGCUAGAGCAUUGAGGGGAGUCUUCCAUAGUACGAGAGGACCUGUGAAGAACAUGCCAAUGGUGUAUUAGUUAUCUUUCCAAAGGUAAACGCUAAGUAGCUACGCAUUGAGUGGAUAAGUGCUGAAAGCAUCUAAGUACGAAGCCCACCUCAAGAUGAAUGCUCUCUAUCAGGUCGCGGCAAGAACAGCCGUCGAUAGGUAUCAGGUGUAAGAUCAGCAAUGAUUUCAGCCGAGAUAUACUAAAGGCCGAUUGAUUUUGAC